rnacentral:lncRNA from 1 species
CAACCAGACCAUGUUGUGGAUUCUUAUGACUGGAGGACUCAUUGACUAGAAACUGCAACUUCAUCAUGGCACUAGUAUUCCAUGAAAUGUGCAUUCUAUCUGACACAAAUUGGAUCAUGACAAUGAACCUGGCUACAACAACCUGGAGGUGGCAGAGCAUCUCCAGAAGCAAAGGGCUGACAUCAACGCACAGGACAAAGGAGGCCUCAUCCGUUUGCACAAUGCUGCCUAAUACAGGGUCCGUCACCUCAAAGAUUACAUCAGGCUUUUGAAGAUGUUUUACAUGCAAACCGCGUUUUUGCCUCAGCUCCUGCUUUUCCCAGUUUCUCUUUCUUUGACCCUUGCCUGUCCUGACUCGGAGCCCGCCUGCCUGACCACUCUGCCUGACCCUGACCUGCACCAUUGCCCUACCUCUAGAUUAUUGACCACUGCCUACCUUGAGCCUGCCUGCCUGCCAUCCGGUACCCCACCUCUGGUUUACUGAGCCCUGCCUGUCUAUUGCCUGCCCUUGUUGAUUAUUAAACCAUUGUUAAUUCGACAUUGUCUUCAUCUUACCGUCAUACCUGAUACAGAAUACCUACACUGUGACCU